AAAUCUUAUAAAUAGGAAUGGAGGGAGUAAAAAUAAAAGAACUUGUUUGAUUGACCUGUUUUUGUUUUUAUUAUUAGUGUGUUUUGUUCCACAUUCCUGAUGUGCUUUUUCGAGUAAGGAAUUAAUGGUUAUAGCUUUCAUAUUUUUGGGUGGCAUGGACGUGAUUUUUGGCUUAUGGAUGAGUUUCCAAACACACAAUAAUUGAUUCUUCCAAACACACAAUAAUUGAUUCCCAGUUUACGUCCUAAUAUUUCUUGAUUUUGCAUGUCACAGAUAUGAGUACCUGUGGAUGUGGAACCAAACAGGCUAUGAGUCAAUUUGCAUGUGUUGCAACUUUUGAAGCUUUCAUUGGUUAAUAACCCGCAGAAAUACGCAAGAUUUCUGUGGGAUACACAGCAUUUAUUUAGUUGGUUGGCGAGUCACCUGGGCUAAAAAUCUGAACUACUCAGAAGGAUAAUUUUUUUAAUGGGAAAAUUGGUUUAGAUUGGAUUUUUCUUUUGUGGGAAAAUAUUCUUUUUGCAGAAAAUAUAAUUUAAAGUUAAAACCAUGGAUAACACUAAACAGAUGCUGCAUAAUAACGUUGUAAAGCAAAUAUGAUAAGACUGUUUUCUAGCUAUUGGUAUUUUUUUCCUAGUUGUCA